CUAAAAUUAAUAAGUAGAUUUUCAUCCAAAUUUUUGAAAAAAAUGGGGCGGGUGGGAGGAUUUUAUUUUUUAAAUUUUAUUUCAUAUGAAACCUUUUUGUCAUGUGUUAUUUAUAUAUGCAAGUGUUAUAAUAAGCUUAUAUCAUGUAAAUACAUCCAUAAGGUAUCGUUUAUCAGACAAUAACAAUCAAAACCAAGGAGUAACCAAAGACUCAUAAAACCAAAAG
rnacentral:lncRNA from 1 species